GACGAACGCUGGCGGCGUGCUUAACACAUGCAAGUCGAACGGAAAGGCCCUGCUUUUGUGGGGUGCUCGAGUGGCGAACGGGUGAGUAACACGUGAGUAACCUGCCCUUGACUUUGGGAUAACUUCAGGAAACUGGGGCUAAUACCGGAUAGGAGCUCCUGAUCCAUGGGGGGGGUUGGAAAGUUUCGGCGGUUGGGGAUGGACUCGCGGCUUAUCAGCUUGUUGGUGGGGUAGUGGCUUACCAAGGCUUUGACGGGUAGCCGGCCUGAGAGGGUGACCGGCCACAUUGGGACUGAGAUACGGCCCAGACUCCUACGGGAGGCAGCAGUGGGGAAUAUUGCACAAUGGGCGGAAGCCUGAUGCAGCAACGCCGCGUGCGGGAUGACGGCCUUCGGGUUGUAAACCGCUUUCGCCUGUGACGAAGCGUGAGUGACGGUAAUGGGUAAAGAAGCACCGGCUAACUACGUG
rnacentral:rRNA from 1 species